rnacentral:lncRNA from 1 species
GUCAGGAGUUUGAGACCAGCCUGGCCAAUAUGGUGAAACCCCAUCUGUACUGAAAAACAAAAAAUUAACUGGGCAUGGUGGGGCGCGCCUGUAGUCCCAGCUACUCAGGAGGCUGAAGCAGGAGAAUUGCUUGAACCUGGGAGGUGGAGGUUGCAGUGAGCCAAGAUCACACCACUGCACUCCAGCCUGUGCAACAGAGUCAGACUCCAUCCCCUUUAAAAGACAAAAAAAAAAAAGGCCACAGUGGCUCACACCUGUAAUCCCAGCACUUUGGGAGGCCGAGGGAGGCAGAUCAUGAGGUCAAGAGUUCGAGACCAGCCUGGCCAACGUGGUGAAACCCCGUCUCUACUAAGAAUACAAAAACUCGGCAGGGUGCCGUGGCUCACACCUGUAAUCCCAACACUUUGGGAGGCCAAGGCAGGCGGAUCACGAGGUCAGGAGACCGAGACCAUCCUGGCCAACAUGGUGAAACCCUGUCUCUACUAAAAAUACAAAAAAAUUAGCUGUGCGUGGUGGCGUGUGCCUGUAAUCCCAGCUAGUCAGGAGGCUGAGGCAGGAGAAUUGCUUAAACCAGGAAGUCAGAAGUUGCAGUAAGCCGAGAUUGCGCCAUUACACUCCAGCCUGGUGACAGAGUGAGACUCUGUCUCAAAAAAAAAAAAAAAAAAAUACAAAAAUUAGCCGUGUGUGGUGGUGGCGCAUGCCUGUAAUCCCAGCUACUCAGGAGGCUGAGGCAGGAGAAUUGCUUGAACCCGGGAGGCGGAGGUUGCAGUGAGCCCAGAUCAUGCCACUGCACUCCAGCCUGGAGAACAGAGCAAGACUCUAUCUUGAAAGGAAAAAAAAAAAAGAAGGAACUUUUUGGGAUGAUGAAUAUGUUCUAUGUUUCAUGGGUAAAUACAACUCUCAAAACUCAUCCAACUAGACCGUUAAUGUGGGUGCAUGUUCUUGCAUGUAAAUUACACCUCAGUAAAAAAAAAUUUUUUAUACAAAAAUUAGCCAGGCACGGUGGGGCACCUGUAAUCCCAGCUACUUGGGAGGCUGAGGCAGGAGAAUCGCCUGAACCCAGAAGGCGGAGGUUGCAGUGAGCCAAGAUCGCUCCACUGCACCCUAGCCUGGCCGACAGAGCAAUACUCCGUCUCAAAAAAAAAAAAAAUUUAGUUAAAAUAAAAACAACAACAAAAGUAAGAGGAGCAAACAAAAUGUAUCAAUUUCAGCCGAGGUUUUCUAGGGCAAACACUAGAAUAUUGUACCUUUUGCUACCUGAUACCUUAUCAAUCAAUAUAUAUUACUGAGCACUUCGAUGCAAGGAUUCCAUCACCUCCCCAACAUGUGAUAUAGAAUAGAAGCAGGUAAAUGUUUACUAAAUGAAGGUACACAGCGGGCUUUUGGAGAGGAAAUAGACUCUGGCCUCCAGCCAUGGAAUAAUUUAUACUGUCUCUUGCUAACAUACCUGGAGCCGUUUCCUCAUUUUGUGAUCCAAAGAGUAAACAUGUAAAACCAGCCAAUCUUAGGUUAUAUUCUUGCCAUCCUAGAGAGUAAGUGCUCCAGGACAUCAGAGUAAGAAGUCUGGACCAGGGGCAAUUCUCUUUGUAUAAUGUGGAUUAUUGUUUAUGUUCCUAUCUUGUUUCCCUGUUAGACUGUGAGCUGGAGAGUUUGCACUUUUAUGUGUCGUUCUAACACUCUCAGUCCUUACAGUUCACUGAACCCAGCAGCCAGUCAAAAAUCUUUGCCACUGUUGAAUUGUAAUGCUGUACGUUCAGGGGAAUACAUUGCUAUUUAUUAAAUGAAGGAGAACUUUCAAAUUUAAGAAGAGAUUGUUUUGCAUGCUGAAGACAGUAGGUAUUAUAAAAUACUUAAAUGGGAGCCUUUCCCACCCCAGAACAACCUACUUAGCAUUAGAUAAAUUUACUAUUUAAAGUAGCCAAAGACCACUUCUAGAAAUAGAACCUAAAGAAAUAAUAGCAAAUGCAUGUAGAGAAAAAAAAGCUAAAAGAAAUCUUUGUAAAAAAACAAAACAACAACAACAAAAAAGCGCAUUUAGAAGAUUUGUUGCAGCAUUGUUUGUUUGUUUUGAGACAGGGUCUCACUCUGGCGUCCAGGCGGGAGUGCAGUGGUGAGGUCUCGGCUCACUGCAACCUCUGCCUCCUGGGUUCCAGAGAUUCUCGAGCCUCAGCGUCCCAAGUAGCUGGGAUUACAGGCAUGCGCCACCAAGCCCAGCUAAUUUUUGAAUUUAUUUAUUUAUUUAUUUUUAUUCUUAUUUUUUUUUGAGACAGACUCUUGCUCUGUCACCCAGGCUGGAGUGCAGUGGCGUGAUCUUGGCUCACUGCAACCUCUGCCUCUUGGGUUCAAGUGAUUCUCCUGCCUCAGCCUCCUGAGUAACUGUGAUUACAGGCGCCCCCUAUCACGCCCAGCUAAUUUUUGUAUUUUUAGUAGAGAUGGGGUUUCACCAUAUUGGGCAGGCUGGUCUCAAACUCCUGACCUUGUAAUCCAUCCGCCUCAGCCUCCCAAAGUGCUGGGAUUACAGGCAUAAGCCACUGAGCCUGGCGUAAUUUUUGUAUUUAUAGUAGAGAUGGGGUUUCACCAUGUUGGCCAGGCUGGCCUGGAACUCCUGACCUCAAGCGAUCCGCCCUCCUCGGCCUCCCAAAGUGCUGGGAUUACAGGUGUGAGCCACUACAGCUGUCCAAAAUGCACACCAGAUUUUGAGAAUUUUGUUCAUGAAAAAGUACUUAAUUUUUUUUUUUUUUUUUGAGACAGAGUCUCGCUCUGUCGCCCAGGCGGGAGUGCAGUGGCUUGAUCUCGGCUCACUGCCAGCUCCGCCUCCGGGGUCCAUGCCAUUCUCCUGCCUCAGCCCCCCGAGUAGCUGGGACUACAGGUGCCCACCACCACGCCCAGCUAAUUUUUUGUAUUUUUAGUAGAGAUGGGGUUUCACCAUUAGCCAGCAUGGUCUCCGUCUCCUGACCUCAUGAUCCGCCCUCCUCAGACUCCCAAAGUGCUGGGAUUACAGGCGUGAGCCACUGUGCCCAGCCAAAACUAUUUAAAUUUUUAAAAUAUUGGUUACAUUUUGAGAUGAUAAUAUCUUGGAUAUGUUGGACACAUAGGGUUGUUGUGAGGACUGAAUAUGCUGAGAGUUCUUAUACAUAUCCUGCCCUCAUAAACACCCAAGCUUCCUACUGUCAGCAUCCCACACUACAGUGGUACAUUUGUUACCGUCAAUGACAGAUCAUUUCCAUCCAAACUUCAUAGUUAAUGUUAAGGUUCCCUCUUAGUGUCAAGCAUUCUAUGGGUUUUGGCAAAUGCAUAACGAUAUCUAUUCACCAUGAUGCUAUCAUACAGUGUAAUUUCAUUGCCCUGAAAAUCGUCUGUGCUCUGCCUGUUCAUUCCUCUUUCCCCUCAUUCCUUGGCAGCCACUGAUCUUUCCUUUUUUAUACAUAUACUCCUAGUUUAGGAGCUGAACUCUUUUACUUUUUUCUUUUUUUUUUUUCUUGAGACAGAGUCUCACCCUGUCACCCAGGCUGGAGUGCAGUGGCGCGAUCUCGGCUCACUGCAAGCUCCGCCUCCCAGGUUCACGCCACUCUGCUGCCUCAGCCUCCCGAGCAGCUGGGACUACAGGCACCCGCCACCAUGCCCGGCUAAUUUUUUGUAUUUUUAGUAGAGACGGGGUUUCACCAUGUUAGCCAGGAUGGUUUCAAUCUCCUGACCGCGUGAUCCACCCGCCUUGGCCUCCCAAAGUGCUGGGAUUACAGGCGUGAGCCACCGUGCCUGGCCUCUUUUACUUUUUUAAAUGUGAAUUUUAGAAAAUUUUAAAUUACACAUGUGGGCCGGGGACAGUGGCUCAUGCCUGUAAUCCUAGCACUUUGGGAGGUCAAGGUGGGUGGAUCACUUGAAGUCAGGGGUUUGAAAGCAGCGUGGCCAACAUGACAAAACCCCGUCUCUACUGAAAAUACAAAAAUUAGCUGGGUGUGGUAGCGGGUGUCUGUAAUCCCAGCUACUCGGGAGACUGAGGCAGGAGAAUCGCUUGAACCCAGGAGACGGAGGUUGCAGUGAGCCGAGAUUGCUCCACUGCACUCCAGUCUGGAUGACAGAGAGAGACUCCAUGUCAAAAUAAAUAAAUAAAUAAAUAAAUAAAUAAAUAAAUAAAUAAAUAAAAUAGUAGCUCUGGUUGAGGGCAGUGGCUAAUGCCUGUAAUCCCAGCACUUUGAGAGGCCAAGACAGGAGCAUCGCUUGAGCCCAGGAGUUCAAGACCAGUUUGGGCAACAUAGGGAGACCCCAUCUCUACAAAAAUAAAAAAAUUAGCCAAGUGUAGUGGCACAUGUCCAUGGUCCCAACUCCUUGGGAGGUGGGAGGAUCACUUGGGCCUGGGAGGUCGAGGCUGUGGUGUGUCAUGAUUGCAUCACUGUAUUCCAGCCUGGGCAACAGAGUGAGACCCUGUCUCAAAAAAUAAAAUAAAAUAGUAACUCCCAGUGUCAUGUUUUUCUAUUUUAUUCUUCUUCCUAACACUUAUUAAUAACUGCAUUAGACAGAAAACAAACAGGUAAACAAAUGAGCUACAUGAUGACAAAGUGAUCAAAGUUAUGAAGAAAAUAAAGCAAGGCUUAAAGGAGGGGGCUACUUUGGAUGGGAGGUCAAAAAGGGCCUCUUUGAGAAGGUGACUUCUAAGAUGAAUUUUAGGUGAUGAAAAUGGCACCAAUCAUGCAAUGAUUUUAGGGAAUUCCAAGCAGCCAGAACAGCUUUGCAGAGUCCCAAAGUGGGACGGAAAUUCACUUAUUAGAGGAACAGAAAGAAGGUUUGAUUUGCUAGAAUCCAGUGAGCAAGGGGGUCCUGGAGCACGAGUCAGAUCAUUUGAACAUUAUGGUCCAUUGAAAAGAGUGUAUAUUUUAGUGUAAGUGCAUAUUGGAACUGUGUAGGUGACAUGGUUUAUGGUUUUUUUUUUUUUUUUUUUUUGAGAUGGAGUUUCCCUCUUGUUGCCCAGGCUGGAGUGCAAUGGCUUGAUCUCGGCUCACCGCAACCUCUGCCUCCUGGGUUCAAG